rfam:Vitis vinifera, whole genome shotgun sequence of line PN40024, unordered unoriented chromosome 13, chr13_random
AAUUCUUGACAAUGGAUAUCUAGGCUCUCUCAUUGAUAAAGAACGUCGUUAAAUGCAAUACUUGGUAUGAAUUGUAGAAUUUUGUGAAUUAUCAAGUCUUUAAACGCACGUUGCUCCCAAAGCCAUAAGGUUGGGCAUAUUUACCUUAGUGUCA